rnacentral:lncRNA from 1 species
AAAAUGUGUGAUUCAAUGCGCACACUACCAUUUAGCACUUUGUUUCAAUUUGUUCAGCAUCCACCUCCUUCAUCCGAGAUGAGAACUGGUGUACCCAUAAUCCUCUUUGUUGCAGUGGCAGGUUUCCACAGUGUGAUUUCAUUUUCUCUGCAAUGUGAUGAAACGACUAAAUUGUCAGAAGAGAGAGCGUUUGAAGAGAACAGCACAACACCACAAACAGAUGGAGAGACAAAGGCAGUGACAGACACUACAGAGGAGGAAAAUGGUGAAGAAUCAGACGAGAACAAAUUGCUUGAGAAGGAAGAUAGUGAUGAUGGUGAGAGAGAGGCACUAGCAGACUCUACAGGAGCGAACACCGGAAGUGACGCGCCAACAGGAAGGUCACGCUCGGUGGAGGUCCAUUCAUCACCACACGAGGGCGACAAACACAGUGAGCAGGUGGAAGAGAAUGUGAAAAGUUCUGAGGAUUCCAGUGAAGAAUACGGUGGAUAUUACGAUUCUUAAGACUGUGUGGAAGGCAUCUAACAUCUUUAAACCUAAAUGCCUUGUUUUAUAAAUCAUAUUGCAAAAUUUCUAACCAACUGUCUGUAGCACCUGGACAAAAAACAUGCAUUGUGACCACUGCUUUUUUUUUCUUUCCAAAUAAAGACUGUAAGCACUGGCGGGUGUCCAGCAUUCAUAGAAACGCUAGGUUGCAGAUGGGUGUAAUAACAGAUGAUUACAUGGCUUCUUAGAGGCAGCAGUGUGAGUAGCAGAUGUGGCAGUGUUAGAACAUAUCUAGGACGGUUAUCCAGGCCAGCGGCGUCUACAGUCCGUGGGUGCUCAUUUGAGCUUUAUUUAUAUCAUCUGCAUUGUCCCAGCUUAUUUUUGGACCAAAGAUGCAUCAUCGCCCGUCCCCAAAUCCCACAACCUGAUGAGGACGAGCUGUUUUACUGCAUAUAGAGCAGCAAGCAUUUAUUGCGGUUUUACUGUAUAUAGAAAAAGACUCCUAAACUCUCAAGAAAUACUUUGCAAUUGUGGAGGGAAAUGUUGAUAGUUCUUUGCUAAAUGCAUGUUUCGCAUUUAGUCCAUGUUGUAAUGCAUCGUUUUAAUGGUCAAAAUUUAAAUCUAUAGUGUUUUGUCUGUUAAGGAUUAGGGAACUACACAC